rnacentral:rRNA from 1 species
UACGUAGGGUGCGAGCGUUAAUCGGAAUUACUGGGCGUAAAGCGUGCGCAGGCAGUUUUGUAAGCCAGAUGUGAAAUCCCCGGGCUUAACCUGGGAAUGGCAUUUGGGACUGCGAGGCUUGAGUGCGGCAGAGGAGACUGGAAUUCCUGGUGUAGCAGUGAAAUGCGUAGAUAUCAGGAGGAACACCGAUGGCGAAGGCAGGUCUCUGGGCUGACACUGACGCUCAUGCACGAAAGCGUGGGGAGCAAACAGG